GACGAACGCUGGCGGCGCGCCUAACACAUGCAAGUCGAACGGAGCUGAGAGAAGCUUGCUUUUCUUAGCUUAGUGGCGAACGGGUGAGUAACGCGUGAGUAACCUGCCCUGGAGUGGGGGACAACAGUUGGAAACGACUGCUAAUACCGCAUAAGCCCACGAUCCGGCAUCGGAUUGAGGGAAAAGGAUUUAUUCGCUUCAGGAUGGACUCGCGUCCAAUUAGCUAGUUGGUGAGGUAACGGCCCACCAAGGCGACGAUUGGUAGCCGGACUGAGAGGUUGUACGGCCACAUUGGGAGUGAGACACGGCACAGACUCCUACGGGAGGCAGCAGUGGGGGAUAUUCCACAAUCGGGGAAACCCUGAUGCAGCGACGCCGCGUGGAGGAAGAAGGUUUUCGGAUUGUAAACUCCUGUCGUUAGGGACGAUAAUGACGGUACCUAACAAGACAGCACCGGCUAGCUACGUG
rnacentral:rRNA from 1 species